rnacentral:lncRNA from 1 species
GGAGGAGCAGCGCAGGGAGGAUUAAAGAGGAGAAAGACCUGGCUGGCUCUCGGUGGUGUCUGCGGUGCCAGAAAGGGAGGUGGCGGCGGCGGCGACCACGGCCUCGCAGGACGUGAGGCCCGAGAGCAGCCGACGGCGGCGGCGGCGGUGGCCGCUCGAGCGCCUCGCGCCGGGGCCGUUAGUCAGCAGAACGCGAGCCCGUGUGGAAGAGCAGCGCCGGCGCCAGGCGAGACUCGGGAGCGCGAGCCGGCCCCCUCGGGCGCCGCGGUGCUUGUUCGUGCCGGCGCUGGGGGCUGCAGCCCUCGGCCCCGCUCCUCGGCCGGGCCCGCCCGCAGCUCGGGAGAGGGCGGCGGCGGCGCGGAUCGCGGCGUGCGGAGGACGGCGCGGCGGCCGAGGCUCUCGCCCGGCCCUCUCUGCCUGCCGCCCCAGCCGGGGCCGCUCAGGUGCAGGUGCGCGGGCCGCGGGGGCCGGGGCGCUGCGGCUGCGGCCGGGCGCGGGGAGGGGGCGCUGGGCCCGAGCCGCAGCGCGGGAGGGAGCGACGAGCCCGGGCCGCGCGGGGGAGGGGAGCGGGAGGCGGCUUUGUUGUUGGCGACCGGGAUCCCUCUCGGCGCCGGGGAAACGCGGGCAAGCCGCUCCCGGGCGGGUCAGUGCUCGGGGGAGGAUUCUCCGGUGGCUCCAGGCAGGGGAGAGGUGGUAGGGUCCCUGCAGUCGGAAAGGCUGCGGGAGUCAGGGGGCGGGGGAGGAACGGACGGACGGACAGACAGACUGGGAAAGGUCUUGGGUCUUCCUUGCAGAGAAGGAUCUCCUGGCGCUUCUCUCUCCGUGGCCGGAGAGAUGGGGUCAGUGUCCCCUUCCCCUGCCUGGCUCGCUGUGAGGUUCGCGAUGGCUGCAGGCUCUCUCCGGAAUGUCCUCGUGUGUGCCAGCCUCGAUCUGAGAACGAACCUGCCCGGUUCGUUGAUCUGUGUAUUCCGCUCGGGUCCUCGGGCUUCUUCUGAGAUGGUUGAACUUUAA